rnacentral:lncRNA from 1 species
CCCAAGCCCCGUCCCGGUUUUCGACCCGGUUCUGCCGGAGGCGGUCACGUCCAAGGUGAGCGACCCGAUCAGAGUUACGGAUCCGGUUACGGUGGUCAGACGGAGGCUGAGUACGGUAGGAGACCUGAAUCGGGGUACGGCGGAGCCACGGAGACGGAGUAUGGCCGGAGACCUGAGCAGAGUUACGGAUCUGGUGGAUACGGUGGCAGAUCGGAGGUUGAGUCUGGUGGCUAUGGUGGUAGAUCAGAGGUUGAAUCUGGUGGAUACGGUGGAAGAUCGGAGUCUGGUGGCUAUGGUGGAAGAACGGAGGUUGAGUAUGGCCGGAGACCUGAAUCUGGAUAUGGUGGGAGAUCGGAGACGGAGACCGGGUACGGAUCCGGGUAUGAGAAGAAACCGAGCUUCGGUGAAGAGAGGAGCGAGUAUGAGCGCAAGCCUAGCUAUGGAAGGUCUGAGGAUCAAGAGGAAGGAGGUUACAGGAAGCCUAGCUAUGGGAGAUCUGAGGAUCAGGUUGAGAGCUACAUAAAGCCCAGCAGCUACGGGAGGUCUGAGGAAGAGGAAGAAGGAGGCUAUAGGAAGCCUAGCUAUGGAAGGUCUGAGGAACAGGAGGAAGGGAGUUACAGGAAGCCUAGCUAUGGCCGUCGUAAU